UAGAGAAGUCAGUGAUGGUUUUAUUCAUAUUGUCUGAACCUGUCUGAAACAUCGGUGAUGCAAUCUCUGGGUGAUUCUGAGACUUCUCUAAGU
rnacentral:snoRNA from 1 species